rnacentral:lncRNA from 1 species
AGGAAUCCCGUGUUUGCUAAACAACGCCCACCAACCUAACACGAUGAAUAGAAUCUCUAUACCGCCAAGGAUGAAAGAAAACAAGUAAAGAUAAAUCCACUUCACCUUCUUAAAAUCCAAUUCAUACAUAGAAGGUGUACCAAAAAGAACGUUUUCUGGACUCCGUCCACAUUUUGCAUCAGUACUUUCAAGAUUCAAAAGACCUGAUUCCGAUCCACUUAGAUUCUUAGGUACUUUAAAGAAUGCAGUACCAGGAAAACCAGGAGACCUAUAGCCAUUGAACAGCAUGACUUUAGUGAAGCAUGUUCCCUCACCAUUUCGCCUGUAGACAAAAGCACGACAACGCGGAUCAUCCAAGCACAAUAUCCUACAAGAAUCCAGUGACAUAGAAUUAGUGAAGUUAAGAUCAAAACCCGAGUAAUCAACAUUAGGAAUCUCCACGAACUUCACAUGUUCGCGACUCAAACUUCUUUGAAUAGAAUCUCUAUUCCGCCAAGGGUGAAAGAAAACAAGUAAAGAUAAAUCCACUUCACCUUCUUAAAAUCCAAUUCAUACAUAGAAGGUGUACCAAAAAGAAUGUCUUCUGGACUCGGUCCACACUUUGCUUCUGUACUUUCAAGAUUCAAAAAACCUGAUUCUGAUCCACUUAGAUUCUUAGGUACUUUAAAGAAUGCAGUACCAGGAAAACCAGGAGACCUAUAGCCAUUGAAAAGCAUGCCUUUAGUGAAG